rfam:Pseudocercospora fijiensis CIRAD86 unplaced genomic scaffold MYCFIscaffold_9, whole genome shotgun sequence.
AUGUCCUUCGGGCAUCUGGUCAAUUUGAAUUGAAACAGAGAAGAUCAGCAUGCUCCCUGCACUAAGGAUGACAUAUGUUAACAAGGAGAGUAAUGAUUUUUU